rnacentral:rRNA from 1 species
AGCAGCCGCGGUAAUUCCAGCUCCAAUAGCGUAUAUUAAAGUUGUUGCAGUUAAAAAGCUCGUAGUUGAAUUUCGGGGUCAGUAGGUUGGUCGUGCCUAUGGUAUGUACUGGCUUUACUGAUUCCUCCUUCUUGAAGAACUGUAAUGUCAUUAAUUUGGUGUUGCAGGGAAACAGGACUGUUACUUUGAAAAAAUUAGAGUGUUUAAAGCAAGCUAACGCUUGAAUACAUUAGCAUGGAAUAAUGAAAUAGGACGUUCGAUCCUAUUUUGUUGGUUUCUAGGAUUGACGUAAUGAUUAAUAGGGAUAGUUGGGGGCAUUAGUAUUCAAUUGUCAGAGGUGAAAUUCUUGGAUUUAUUGAAGACUGACUACUGCGAAAGCAUUUGCCAAGGAUGUUUUCAUUAAUCAAGAACGAAAGUUAGGGGAUCGAAGACGAUCAGAUACCGUCGUAGUCUUAACCAUAAACUAUGCCGACUAGGGAUCGGAUGAUGUUAAUUUUUUAAUGACUCA